rnacentral:rRNA from 1 species
GACGAACACUGGCGGCGUGCUUAACACAUGCAAGUCGAACGGAAAGGCCCUGCUUUUGUGGGGUGCUCGAGUGGCGAACGGGUGAGUAACACGUGAGUAACCUGCCCUUGACUUUGGGAUAACUUCAGGAAACUGGGGCUAAUACCGGAUAGGAGCUCCUGCUGCAUGGUGGGGGUUGGAAAGUUUCGGCGGUUGGGGAUGGACUCGCGGCUUAUCAGCUUGUUGGUGGGGUAGUGGCUUACCAAGGCUUUGACGGGUAGCCGGCCUGAGAGGGUCACCGGCCACAUUGGGACUGAGAUACGGCCCAGACUCCUACGGGAGGCAGCAGUGGGGAAUAUUGCACAAUGGGCGGAAGCCUGAUGCAGCAACGCCGUGUGCGGGAUGACGGCCUUCGGGUUGUAAACCGCUUUCGCCUGUGACGAAGCGUGAGUGACGGUAAUGGGUAAAGAAGCACCGGCUAACUACGUG